GACGAACGCUGGCGGCGUGCUUAACACAUGCAAGUCGAACGGUGAACCAGAGCUUGCUCUGGGGAUCAGUGGCGAACGGGUGAGUAACACGUGGGCAACCUGCCCCAGACUCUGGGAUAACCUCGGGAAACCGAUGCUAAUACCGGAUACAACCACUUCGGACAUCCGACGGUGGUGGAAAGUUUUUCGGUCUGGGAUGGGCCCGCGGCCUAUCAGCUAGUUGGUGGGGUAAUGGCCUACCAAGGCGACGACGGGUAGUCGGCCUGAGAGGGCGACCGGCCACACUGGAACUGAGACACGGUCCAGACUCCUGCGGGAGGCAGCAGUGGGGAAUAUUGCACAAUGGGCGAAAGCCUGAUGCAGCGACGCCGCGUGAGGGACGACGGCCUUCGGGUUGUAAACCGUACUUUCUAGCAGGACGAAGCG
rnacentral:rRNA from 1 species